GGUAACCAUGACAAUGCCCUCUUUUCCCUUGCCCUGCGGUUUCCUCUAAAUCUUCUUUCACUUUCUUCUUCUGCUUUUCCCCCUCCUCUUCUUGCCUCCCCUGUCCCACACCCACCUCCUUCCCAUAGCUCAGGUCACGGAUGAAGAGAGCCAGGAGCAAGAGAGAAGCAAAGAGGAUUGGAAGUGCAUGGGUGGAGGCCUGCCCUGUGCCUCUGAAGUACUCCCCUCUGUCAUGUGACCCCAAACCUGCAGCCAUCCUUGGGGUCAGAGGCAAAGAAUAGGCUCUCACUAGAGCGCCGCGGGCCUGCUGAUAAGUUUAUCAGUUAUUGGUGAGUAAUCUUGGUAUCAUGGGGCAGUCAGAGUCUUGCCUAAAUGCCUCACCAGCCAUGAUGCAGAGAAUUGCCCAGGCUGCAGUAAUGUAGAGAUGGAAAUUCAGCGCCUAUAAGUACCUGUGGAAACAGAAUACGUUCCCAGGAGGAGUGAAAGUGCAUGUUCUGGCUGCGGAGGGGCUAGGACAUCCCUCAGGAAACCGUUCCAUAAAGAUGGAACUCUGCUCAUCUUAGAAGCAGGUGAAAAUAGUCAGACAAAAAACUGGCCUGGCGGUGGUGGCACACGCCUUUAAUCCUGGCACUUGGGAGGCAGACAGACAGAUUUCUGAGUUAUACAAAUGACAUAAGAGAAAGAGAGAUCAAAACAAAAAGAAAAUGUAUCUCAGAGUUACUCCUAUGAUGUCCUUGAGGAUGGGAGACAUUCAGUUACAACACUCCCUUGUGCUGUGUCUGUUUGUCACUCACCGAAUUCUUUGCCCACUUGGUCAGAACUUUUAUCACCCCAAGGAACAAGGGGUCCCCAAAGCAACCCAGUCUGUGGCAAUAUAUGAACUACCCACCACGCAUGGCUCUUAAUUCUCAUCUCUAAGUAUACAAGGCAGUGUAGUCACUUAGUCCUUACAAUAAGCUUCUGAGAUAGGAGGGUGGGCUGUCAAUUAGAUAGAGCAUUUGCUCAGUAUAUGGAUGGCACAAGGUUCCUCUCCCAGCAACACACACACACACACACACACACACACACACACACACACACACACGCGCGCGCGCGCAGUAGCCAAACCAAAACAUAAAAGAAUUUUUGUUUCCCUAAUCUCAAAAAAAAAUCUGCUCACUAGGAUGUAGUCCCCAAGCCAGGACUCCAUGGAAGUCACUGGGUUCUCAGUUCCUAUCUCUCCCUGCCUGUGCCUGUCCACCUGUGAGACUCAGGAGGCUUGCAGGUCUGGAGAAGGAAAGGGAGUUGACUCAGAACUAACCCUUAGUGCUGAUGCCCCGGAGAUCUGUGAUUUUCAUAAGCAUCCUUGGAAACAUGUAGGGUUGGCUGGGUCUCCGUCGCCGGGCAUAAAGCCUCAGGGCUUCCAGCAGGGGCUCCUGCAGCUUGUCCACCUUCUCAGGCUCUUCCAGGUCCAUUCGGUCUAUACAAGAACAAUGGAUGAGGCAGGGUAGGACACAGUGACAGGCAGCCAACUCCUGACAGACCUUACUCUGGGGGCCUCAAAGCCAGACUGUCUCAUCUACCCUUUACUCCUGUCACUGAGCCCUCCAGGUUAUUACCCCUCUGCAAGGACAUAGCUCUAGGAUAUCACUCCUACUAAAUUCCUAUCUCAGCACUUGUAGGCAGGGCU